AUGUAUAUUAAUUAGAAGACAAUCGAUAAAUGUUUCAGGAUUCAACAUUUGCUUCCGAUAUCCAGUUAUCUGUAGCUAGUGAAAAUCCGACUUUACAGACGAGACCAUUUUCUUCACAAGUGCAUCAGGUAAAUAAUUUAUUCUUACUAAUUUUAUUUGACUUUUCAGUGGCUUCGUCCAUAUAUGAAUGUAUAUUAAUUAGAAGAUAAAAUCGAUAAAUGCUGCAGGAUUCAACAUUUGCUUCCGAUAUCCAGUUAUCUGUAGCGAGUGAAAAUCCGACUUUACAGACGAGACCAUUUUCCUCACAAGUGCAUCAGGAUUCAACAUUUGCUUCCGAUAUCCAGUUAUUUGUAGCUAGUGAAAAUCCAACUUUACAGACGAGAUCAUUUUUCUCACAAGUGCAACAGGUAAAUAAUUCAUUCUUACUAAUUUUAUUUGACUUUUCAGUCACUUCGUCCACAUAUGUAUGUAUAUUAAUUAGAUGAUAAAAUCGAUAAAUGCUUCAGGAUUCAACGUUUGCUUUCAAUAUCCAGUUAUCUGUAGCUAGUGAAAAUCCAACUUUACAGACGAGAUCAUUUUUCUCACAAGUGCAACAGGAUUCAACUUUUGCUUCAGAUAUCUAGUUAUUUGUAACUACCGGUAAUCCGAAUUUACAGACGAGACCAUUUUCCUCAACUACCAGUAAUCCGACUUUACAGACGAGACCAUUUUCCUCACAAGUACAAGAGGAAUUUGACAAAAGUUACAGAAAUUUAUUAUAAAGCUCGAUUAUUUUGAAGGCAAAGGCGGAAAACAUAUGGAAGUACUUAAGCUUUACUAUUAAUUCUUUUGGUUAUAUGUUUUUUUUUUUUACCU